UGCAGUCGAACGAACUCUGGUAUUGAUUGGUGCUUGCAUCAUGAUUUACAUUUGAGUGAGUGGCGAACUGGUGAGUAACACGUGGGAAACCUGCCCAGAAGCGGGGGAUAACACCUGGAAACAGAUGCUAAUACCGCAUAACAACUUGGACCGCAUGGUCCGAGUUUGAAAGAUGGCUUCGGCUAUCACUUUUGGAUGGUCCCGCGGCGUAUUAGCUAGAUGGUGAGGUAACGGCUCACCAUGGCAAUGAUACGUAGCCGACCUGAGAGGGUAAUCGGCCACAUUGGGACUGAGACACGGCCCAAACUCCUACGGGAGGCAGCAGUAGGGAAUCUUCCACAAUGGACGAAAGUCUGAUGGAGCAACGCCGCGUGAGUGAAGAAGGGUUUCGGCUCGUAAAACUCUGUUGUUAAAGAAGAACAUAUCUGAGAGUAACUGUUCAGGUAUUGACGGUAUUUAACCAGAAAGCCACGGCUAACUACGUGCCAGCAGCCGCGGUAAUACGUAGGUGGCAAGCGUUGUCCGGAUUUAUUGGGCGUAAAGCGAGCGCAGGCGGUUUUUUAAGUCUGAUGUGAAAGCCUUCGGCUCAACCGAAGAAGUGCAUCGGAAACUGGGAAACUUGAGUGCAGAAGAGGACAGUGGAACUCCAUGUGUAGCGGUGAAAUGCGUAGAUAUAUGGAAGAACACCAGUGGCGAAGGCGGCUGUCUGGUCUGUAACUGACGCUGAGGCUCGAAAGUAUGGGUAGCAAACAGGAUUAGAUACCCUGGUAGUCCAUACCGUAAACGAUGAAUGCUAAGUGUUGGAGGGUUUCCGCCCUUCAGUGCUGCAGCUAACGCAUUAAGCAUUCCGCCUGGGGAGUACGGCCGCAAGGCUGAA
rnacentral:rRNA from 2 species